GACGAACGCUGGCGGCGUGCCUAAUACAUGCAAGUAGGACGCAGUUGCGAACGGGUGAGUAACGCGUAGGUAACUGCCUAUUAGAGGGGGAUAACUAUUGGAAACGAUAGCUAAUACCGCAUACUAGUAGAUGGACCUGCGUUGUAUUAGCUAGUAGGUAGGGUAAUGGCCUACCUAGGCGACGAUGCAUAGCCGACCUGGGGUGGUGAGAGGGCACACGGGGACUGAGACACGGCCCAGACUCCUACGGGAGUCAGCGGUAGGGAAUCUGCGGCAAUGGGGGGAACCCUGAUCGAUCAACGCCGCGUGAGUGAAGAAGGUUUUCGGAUCGUAAAGCUCUGUUGUUAAGGAAGCGGUACUUAACCAGAAAGGACCGGCUAACUACGUGCCAGCAGCCGCGGUAAUUC
rnacentral:rRNA from 1 species